rnacentral:snoRNA from 1 species
AGAAGUUUGCUACACUCUGGGAUUUAGUAUUUCAUUCCACAUUAUUUCCCUAUUUAUGUUACAAACAAGAUUAAACAGACACCUACUCAUCAAGAUAUGCCGAAGAAUUGUGGUUAUUUUGGUCCUUUUCAGUGUCGUACAU